rnacentral:rRNA from 1 species
UGCGGUUAAAAAGCUCGUAGUUGGAUUUCUGUUGAGAGCAGCGCGUCUACCUUUUGGGUAAGUAUGUUGCUUGGUCUUGGCAUCUUCGUGGGAAACGUUCCUGCGCUUGAUUGCGUGGGGCGGGGUUCACGACUUUUACUUUGAGGAAAUUAGAGUGUUCACGGCAGGCAUACGCCUUGAAUAUAUUAGCAUGGAGUAAUAACAUAGGGCUUACGGCCUAUUUUGUUGGUUUCUAGGCUGCAGGCAAUGAUUAAUAGGGACAAUUGGGGGCAUUCGUAUUAACGCGUCAGAGGUGAAAUUCUUGGAUUGCGUUACGACGAACUACUGCGAAAGCAUUUGCCAAGGAUGUUUUCAUUGAUCAAGAACGAAAGUAAGGGGAUCGAAGAUGAUUAGAUACCGUCGUAGUCUUUACCAUAAGCUAUGCCAACUAGAGAUGAGGCGUCGUUCUACUUUGACUCGCUUCGCACCUUAUGAGAAAUCAAAGUUUUUGGGUUCCGGGGGGAGUAUGGUCGCAAGGCUGAAACUUAAAGGAAUUGACGGAAGGGCACCACCAGGAGUGGAGCCUGCGGCUUAAUUUGACUCAACACGGGAAAACUCACCAGGUCCAGACAUANUAAGGAUUGACAGAU